rnacentral:rRNA from 1 species
GACCAGACUCCUACGGGAGGCAGCAGUGAGGAAUAUUGGUCAAUGGACGCAAGUCUGAACCAGCCAUGCCGCGUGCAGGAUGACGGCUCUAUGAGUUGUAAACUGCUUUUGUACGAGGGUAAACCCCGAUACGUGUAUCGGGUUGAAAGUAUCGUACGAAUAAGGAUCGGCUAACUCCGUGCCAGCAGCCGCGGUAAUACGGAGGAUCCGAGCGUUAUCCGGAUUUAUUGGGUUUAAAGGGUGCGCAGGCGGAGGUGCAAGUCAGCGGUCAAAUUGCGGGGCUCAACCCCGUACUGCCGUUGAAACUGCAUCCCUUGGGUGCGCGAGAAGUAUGCGGAAUGCGUGGGGUAGCGGGGAAAUGCAUAGAUAUCACGCAGAACCCCGAUUGCGAAGGCAGCCUUCCGGCGCCCUACUGACGCUGAGGCACGAAAGUGCGGGGAUCGAACAGGAUUAGAUACCCCUGUAA